CUCCUCCGCCGCCGCCGGCCGUGCCGCGCCGCGCCGGGCGGGCAGAGCGCUUCCGGGUCAGCGGCCCGCGGGGAGCCGCGGGAAGGCGGGAGCGCGGUGGGCUCCCGCCCGCCUCGGGGUCCUUCCGGCGGGGUGGGGGGUCUCGGGGGCCCCGAUUCCCCGGGAGUCCCAAUCCUCCUCCUUCGAAAGGGUCCCUGCCCGCCGCCUGGCAGCAGGGGCUGCAAAAUGGCCCUGGCCCCCCGCUCGGGUGGACGGGCUUUCCUCUCGGCGGUGUGUCGUGAGGCGGGCGGGGGACCCUCUUUGGCAGCUUGCAAUGUCGUCAUCGCCUUCUGCUUCGUUGUUACUUUCACCGAGGAGGCCUGGUGGACACACUGUGUUCUUCUCCUUCAGGCAGAAAAAGAGCACAGAGAAGAAGGGCCCAGGCGAGGAUAUGUAUAAAAGAACAAAUGGAAAGGGGGAUGCCCCUUAGGGAAACGCCGCGUGCGUUCUCACAUGCUCAAGUUGUCGGUAUUUUGCUGAUGUGACAAAUAUAUACACGGAGGUGAUGUCUGCAAGGAAUCCCAAGUGAAACAAGACACUGAUGGAAGCUCAGCGUAAAAGCUGAAGAGGAUGUGUCAGAAGCCUCUUCAGCAGCAACUGACAAAAGGUCUAUAUUGGAUCUGGAGCAGUUCCAGCAGCACUUGCAGAUGUAUGCUACCAAGUGGUUUGAGUACACCUACCUUGUCUGAGGGCCUAUGAGCAAGAUGGUUUUUAUCAGCAGUUGAUUACAAUAUGCACUUGAAUCGGCAAACCAUGCACAACUGACAGAAUCAAUUAUUUUAAGUCUGACACCUUAUUUUUCCUCCUUUUAAAUGUAAUUCAUCUACUGUAAUUUCUCUGAAGGAAAAAUACUUGUUUUUAAUACUAAGUGCAUGAUGUCAGUCCAAUAUUAGCUAAGACAAAAGAUGAGAUUUCUUUACAAUUUCCAUAUCAUCCUAUGUUGGAACUCUUUCCCUGUGUAAAUAGCUGUAUAGCCUACCUCUAGUUUCAGUAUGAUUUUACUUAUAAUUGUUAAGGACUGAUCAGAGUAGUAAUAAAUGUGACUAUUUUGUUUGCCUUCCUAUGUAGUAUGAGGAUGGGAUGAUUCUUUUCAUAAAUGAGCAUAUUUUCUGUUGUGUUUAAAGUAUCUUCAAAUGUUUGUGCUUAUUGCUAAGUGCCACUUUAGACUGCUUUUGACAAUGCUUUCUCAUUUUCCAGUGAAGGACAGAGGUCAGUCUCAAGAGUAUUUUGUUAUAUGGAAAGAACAUGGAUUUUAUAUAUAAUAGCAUUAAUUUUCAUUUAGGAUAAGGAUGGUAGAGAAUGGAAUUCAGUGACCGCUCAAUUUCCUUUUGGUGUGUAUUCAGAUACUUUAAUGCUUCUUCACAGAAGUCUUUUGUAAACAAGUAAGUGAAUCAGUGACGGUGGUCCUGAUUCAUGACUGAUGUAAAAUAAAAAGCCAUGUAUCUAUCAUCUGGAAACCAAGGGAUAAGGACCAGAUUUGUUACUGAUAUCAAUAUGUGUGUAAUGUACUACUAGAUAAGGACUGCAAAAGCAAAGUAAAAAAAUUAACUGUUCACAAUGAUCUAAUACUUAAUGGAAUUGAUUUUCUUUUUAAAAUUUUAAAAAUUAAAAUAUUUUUUUCCCACUUCAAAUUUAUAAUAGAUAUUGUAGAACAUGCCAUGGGGAAUCUGGAAGGUGGACUUCAGUACCUAAGAAAGAAAUGCACUACGUUUAUAUUGACGACAUAAUGGAGGAAAUACUUCAGUGCUGUUUGGAGACACAGAAUGAGGUCAUAGUGGAGCAGAAUGCUUCAGGAAUUAAAAAAUAAUUUGUGCUACUUCAUCCAUUCCCACAGUAUAACACCUCCAGAUUCCCGCUUACCAUAAUUACCAACAAUAGUGCUUGGUUCUGUAGGAGGGUAUAGCUGUUUAACACUUAACUCUUGGUGCAGGGAGAGAAGGAGGUUACAAUCUGUAUUAAUGGAAACACUACAAAUUGGAAAACGAGUUUUAAUAAGCUUACUAAUCUGUUCUUGAUUUUAUAUUUCUGUGUGAUGUUCCUAUGUAUACAGGCUGUGUUAGCAUUCAAUUUUGAGGACUAUGUUCUUGAAAGUUUGAAAGUAUUUUAUGAUUAACACGAUAGGCACAUUCUUGGCAUGAUAAGUGAUUUCUCUUAUGUGUUACAAAUUGAAGGUGUAGUCUUAUUUAUGUAUUUAAAAAAAUGAAACUAAUUAAAGGACUUUUGCUGAGGUCCAUUGGUUUUAAUGGUUUUAAAAUUAUGUUUUCCGUUUCAAAGGAUGGCUUAGCCCUUCAUACAUCAGUAUAUAUUAUGCUAAUAUAGCAUACUAGCCUAUUAGUGCAGUAUUUAAUUAUAAAGCUAGAAAAAUAAAAUAAUACAAAGAAUUCUGUAACUGCUUUUACAGAGACUGCAUGGCUGCCUCUUUUUUGCUGUACUGAGAAUGGCAAAAGCUAGUAUUGGCACUAAGGUUGCAGAUUCUUCAGUUAUUUAUAUUCAUUUUAAGUUUCAUUUUAAUAGAACAAAAACAAACAAUUUGGGGACAAAAUAAGUUAACAAAAGUUUGAAACGUUAUUCAUACAAAAUCUGUUAUUUUCUGUGUAAAUCAUAGAAUCACAGAAUGGUUGGGUUGGAAGGGACCUUGAGAGGUCAUCUGUUCCAAUACCCCUGCAAUGAGCAGGGUCAUCUUUAACUACAUCAGGUUGCUCAGAGCCCUGUCCUACCUGACCUUGAAUGUUUCCAGGGAUGGGGCAUCUACCACCUCUCUGGUCAACCUGUGCCAGUGUUUCACCACCCACAUUGUAAAAACUUUAUUCCCUAUACCCAGUCUGAAUCUACCCCCUCCAAUAGGUCCAUGUCUUUCCUGUGCUGGGUACCCCAGAGCUGGACGCAGUACUCCAGAUGAGGUGUCACCACAGUGGGGUAGAGGGGCAGAAUCACCUCCCUUGACCUGCUGGCCACCCUUCUUGUUAUGCAGCCCAGGACCUAAUUAGUUUUCUGGGCUGCGAGCGCACAUUGCCAGCUCCUGUCCAGCUUUUCAUCCACCAGUAUCCGUAAGUCCUUCUCAGCAGGGCAGUUCUCAAUCCCUUCAUCCCCCAACCUGUACUGAUAUUGGGGGUUGCCCUGACCCAGGUGCAGAACCCCACACUUGGCCUUGUUGAACCUCAUGAGUUUCACAUGGGUCCACUUCUCCAGCUUGUCCAAAUCCUGGAUGGCAUCCUAUCCCUCAUGUGUGUCGACAGCACCACUGAGCUUGGUGUCUUCUGCAAACUUGCUGAGGGUGCAUUUGUUCCCACUGUCUGUGUCAUUAAUGAAGAUGUUAAACAUCACUGGUCCCUGUACAGACACCUGAGGGACACCACUCAUCUGGAUCUGGACAUUGAGCCAUUGACCACUAGCCUCUGGAUGCGACCAUCCAACCAAUUCCUCGUCCACCGAACAGUCCAUCCAUCAAAUCCAUAUCUCUCCAAUUCAGAGAGAAGGAUGUUGCAGGGGACCAUAUCAAAGGCCUUACAGAAGUCCAGAUAGAUGACAUCCAUGGCUCUUCCCUUGUCCACUGAUGUAGUCACUCCAUCAUAGAAAGCUGUUAUCUUGGUCAGGCAGGACUUGGCCUUGGUGAAGCCAUGCUGGCUGCCUUGAAUCACCUCCCUGUCCUCCAUGUGCUUUAGCAGAGCUUCUAAGAGGAUCUGUUCCAUGAUCUUCCCAGGCACAGAGGUGAGGCUGACAGGUUGGUAGUUCACAGUGUCCUCUUUUCUACCCCUUUAAAAAAAUGAUGCAAUGUUUCCCUUCUUCCAAUCUCUGGGCACUUCACCUGACUGCCAUGCCUUUUCAAAUAUCAUGGAGAGUGGCUUGGCAACUACAUCAGGCAAUUCCCUCAGGAUUGCAGGAUACGUCUCACCAGGUCCCAGAGACUUGUGUAUGUCCAGGUUCCUCAUGUGGUCUCAAAUCUGAUCUUCUCUUAAAGCAAGAGGGACUUUGCUCCCCUAGUCCCUUUCUUGCAGUCCAUCCACUUGAGAGGUGUGGAAAGAGUGGUUGCCAGUGAAGGCUGAGGCAAAGAAGUUGUGGAGUACCUCAGCCUUCUCCUCAUCCAUUGUUACCAGUUUGCCAGUCUUGCUUAUCAGUGGGGGUUUCCUUUGACCUUUCUUUUUCUAGCUGACGUACACAUGCCGACUCACCCAUGCCAGUCUCUUGUCCUUUCCUGAUUUCUUACACAUGGGGACUGAGAGCUCUUGCACUUUGUGGAGAGUGUCCUUAAAGAUCUGCCAGCUCUGUUCUGCUACUUGGUCCCUGAAGGCAGUUUCCCAGGGGGUCCCAUUGACUAACUCCUUGAAGAGCUGAAAGUUUGCUUUCCUAAAAUUCAGGGUCCAGACUUUACUCUUCACGUGACCCAUAUCCCUCAGGACUGCGAACUCCACCAGUGUAUGAUCAGUGCAGGCGAGGCUGCCUUCAGUCUUCGUGUCUCUGAUUAGCACACUUGCAUUGGUGACCAUCAGGUCCAGUAUCCCAUUGGCUCUGGUAGGGCUGUCCAUUACCUGGCCUAAGAAGUUACUCUCAAUGCACUCAAGGAGUCUUCUGGACUGUGCUACUUUUCCAGCAGAUGUCAGGGCGGUUGAAGACCCCCAGUAGGACAAAAGCCUGUGAGCAUGAUGCUUCCUGUAGCUGGAGUAAGAAGGCUUCAUCAGUAGGCUCCCCUUGAUCAGGCAGCCUGUAGUAGACACCAGCCACAAGGAUCCCUUUGUUGCCUCAGUGUCUGGUUCUUACCCAUAAGCUUUCAACCUGCUCAUGGCUAUUCUUCAGAGACAGUUCUUCACACUCUAUCCAUUUCUUGAUGUAGAGGGCAACCUCUCCACCCCUCCUUCCCCACCUGCCCCUUCUGAACAUCCUGUAGCCAUCAAUAGCAGUGCUGCAGUCAUGGGAUUCAUCCCAUCAGGUUUCAGUAAUGGCAAUUAGGUGGUAGGUUUCUAGCAGCACAGGAGCUUCCAGCUCCUGUUUGUUACCCAUGCUGCAUUUAGCUGUUAGAAUGGAGAAUUACUAGCACAUAAAUUUUUUUUUUGUGCAAAGUAUAAAAUUAUUAGCUCAUCACUCACUAAACAGGUAAGAAAUCAAGCCUGAUUGUCAAGUUAAAUAAAGAACAGUAUUUCUAAAAAUAGUAUUACUUGGGUUUGGGCUUUUUUUCUCCAGAUAGAAAGCAUUUUGCUUCAGAAUAUGUCUGUUUGUACUUCUUUUGCUUAGUGUUUAAAAUGAUGCUGUACUCUGAGUCCGAACUUUCAAGAAUUCACAGAUAACAUAUGAUUAUUUUCUUUAAUACACAGUUGAUAUGUUGCCAGAAGGAAAUACAAGUAAGAAACUCUGGAUAUCUAACAACACUUCUGUCAGUUUUCAUGUGUACAGAAGUUACACAUUCAUUGGACAGAGGUCUAGUGUAUUAUCCUCAAAUGUUAUGGAGAAGAAGCAUUAAGUAUACAGCACAGCUUUCACCUUACUGUUUCUUAGUAUUGUCUGGCAUUGAAUUCUGGCCUUGUUUCCUUGUUUGAACAACAGUAUUUCAUGUCAUAGGCAGUUAUCCUGGUAAGGAUAAAUACCUGUACUCUGACUACAUGUAAAAUUCAGUUGUUACUGAUUUUUAAUGACAAUUUGGCCAGAUAGUAUGUAGACAUCUUCUUUCAUUAGCUUACAAUGUCAUGGUUUCACUACACGGGGAAAUGUUAAAACAUUUCUCAAAUAUUAUAUAUCACAAGUGAGAAUUUCUUUGCCUUUCUGAACAUAAUGCCCUGCUUUAUUUUCUUCCAACGGUUUUCUGUACCUACCCUUAUUUUAAAGUCUGAACGCUCUUAGAGUUACCUAGGGAGCUCUGCUGCUAAUAAGAAGGCAAGCUCUGUGUUUCUUGAUUGAAAUACCUCCUGUAGAGGAGUUCCGCUCAAUUAACGUUGACAGAGACCAGAACAGUUUUCCAGAAGCCGUUGCUCAUGCCCAAGGCCUGCAGAUGUUGAAAGCAAUGAUAAGCCUAUGUUUUCUGGCUUUAGUGAAAUGGAAAUUCUGUGAGAAUAUUUAGUCAUUUCAUUCCAGACGUGGAAAGGCUAAGCAGUAACACAAGGCAAAUUCAUGCUUUAGAGAUCCAGAUUGUGAUUAAAGAGUAGAGUUGUUAUAAAUUAGGGCACUUGGAAUAUACCUGUCAGUUUCUCUUCCCUUUUUCUUCCCUGUUGUGCUUAAAAAGGAAAGAACAAAUGCUACAGCCCUGUUCCUGAAACAUGACAAGGUGGUUGCAUUGCUGUGUUCACUAAGGUCAUGCUACUGAUUAAGCCGGGAUUCUGCAGGUGAUUAAUGUCUCUGGAGUGAGUGCUGGAAAGCUGUGGUGCUAUUUUUAUCUUAGAAAUACUGUUCAUGAACCAGUACCCUCCUCCCAGCAGUUAAAGUAUAGCUGUGAUGAGAUCAACUCUCCUUUGAAACUGUUUACCUCUUUCAUGGGGCUGCAGUUGUUGCUAUGGGUAGUAAGCACAAAGCUGAGUUACUUAAGUCUCCCCACAGAUGAGAUAAUCAGGUUUUUGCCUACAUAGCUAAAAAUCAAGACAUAGGAGUAACUCUGCUGGUUCAGACAAGCGACUGUCUGGCUCCAAGAGUCUUGUCACUGAUCAGAGACCACAGAUGGAUACCCAGGGAGGACUAAAAAGAGCUUGAGCAUUUGAUACUCUCCUCUGUCUUCUUCCCCCGUUAGAGCACUCUUAGCUUCUGACUAUUCCUCAGCUCCAGGGAAGUCAAAAGGCUGUAAUUUCUUUUGUUAGUAACCCUCAGGAGAUCUCUUUAAAGAAAACUCGAGUCUUCCCUUAAACCCAUAUAAAUUCUAUGUCAUCUCUGCCUGGAUCAGGUGUAGUCUCUCAUUUCUCUCUUCCAGGAGGUUUAGUAGUUCAGUAUUGGAUGGGAGGAACAACUAAGGCUAUACCAUUGAGCUUACACUGUGUCAAUUACUGGAUUCCAGCAGUCUUCAGCUGUGCAGAUUUUCUGAAACGUGCAAUUUUGCAUCAUCUUCCAUCUACGGCUUUUUCUCCCCUUUUGCUAAAUCAGUGUGUGUAUCAAUGUGUAUAAAUUUUGGUGGGUAAACAAACAGUCCUUUUCCCAAGGCAUUAGGAAAGUUGUCUUGCAUCCUUCCUACUGCAAGAAGCUCUGGCAGUGCUUUGAGAUUUUUGUCAAGCUGUUUAAAAAGAAAAAAUGUGAAAGCAUAAUUGGGAAUGGAUCAUUAAUUAGCAGUUUGAUAGUUUUACCUGUUUUCCUGUCUAGAGCAGGAAGGGGUGAAAUCUAAUUAAUGUUACUGACAAUUGCUAGAUCAGUUGCAAUGUCAUCAAAUGCAGAUUUAAAGGUGAGGCUCCUUAUGCAGGUGAGUUACAAUCCUGCCUUUGUUAAAUAAACAUUUUGAAAAUACAGAUAGCUGUGCUCUUAUUUGCAUAAGAAUGUUGCAUAAGAGAAGUUCAUGUUCUCUUGUAUACAGAAGAAAUAUGUGAAUUAGAUAAAAUGUGAGGAAUAAGUUUUUGACUCUCUGUGAUUUUUGAUGCUAGUAUUUAGGAGUUUCUGAAUCACAAAUGUCAUUACACAAAAAGUAACUGAUUCAUUGUGACAUGUCAGUUAUCAGUAAAGUUAUGUAAGUUCAGAGAAGGCUGCAUUUAAGAUUAAUAUUUUAGGGCAUGUGUGUUUUUAGUACAAAUGACUGAUGUGACUGCCCAAGGUUAAGUAUCUCAGACUAUCUGGGCUCCUGCUCUGCUUUCAGUAGAAAAGCUCUGUCCUUAACAGGGAAAAAGCAGGUAACUCAAUGAAAAAAGUGAGUGGGGAUUUUUAUCUGCUGUUUUUAGGGAGAGUUGACACAAGACUUCUUUUCCUGGCACUUUUUUGACACUCCUUACUCAGAAGAAAAUCUUAAAGACUUUGGGACUCAGCCCUCUGCUUUUUGCAUUCUGUUUCUCAGUUUCUGCAUAUAUUCAGAUGACGCUAAUAUACAUAGCCAGCCUCUGCUCACACAUUAUCAUGUGUGCCAGGCCCUGACCAUCUUGGUGGCCUCUCCUGGAAUCUCCAGUAUGACAGUGCUUUCUUGUUCUGGGGAGUACAGAGCUGGACACAGUACUCCAAAUGUGGUAUUUCAAGUGCAAAAUGUUUCAUUUCAUAUGGCUUCUUGAACUAUUUUAAUAAAAGGUCCCAAAUAAUUAAAAUUUUUAAAUGGAAUUUGACCUCCAGUGCAGUUACCAAACAGAUUGAGAGGCAUGUGUACAUCUAUCCUGGUUUUAGUAAAAGAUCUCUUUUUUAAUAUUGAAGCUUCAACUUGUGAAUCCACAGCUCUCAGAAGUCAGAUAAUGCUGUUCAGAUUAAAUACUCAAGAGUGGGAGAAAACUAUAUUAUAUAUAAACUAAAUGUUUGUGGUUCAGGAGCUUGCUUUUCAGUGACUACAAAUAAAGCUUAUUCCAGGAUUUUUUUUUUAAGUUGUCCUUUACUCCCCUUUCCUGGGCUAAUGUUACUCCUCUAAAUUUUUCAAAAUAUAUUGACUUGAUAGAAGUGAAAAAUUAUAUUUAAGGGUGAUGCAUGCAAGCCUCAAUUAGUUCAAUCAAGCUAGAUAAUGUAAAAACACUUGUGAGCAGGGGGCUACUGAGAAUAACAGCUGUCACCUCUGAAGCCUUCAGAUCAUGCCAUACUCAGUCCUGGUACUUGCAACUUAAAAUGCCGUAUAGCAUUAUGCAAAGAUUAACACAGAGUGCUAGAAACAGGAAGUUGAUGGUAAAAUACAUGUAGACCCAUAGUGUGAUGAAUGGAUGAAGUCUCAACUUUUGUUUAAAGGCUGGGAAGCCAAUAGAGGGAUCUUUGGAAUAUAUCUGUGGGUUUAGUAUAUGCAGCUUCGGCUUCAGUUUGCAUCUUUUUCAGUUAUGCUUUUGUAGUGCUGUUGAUGAGUAACUGUCUGAAUACCUCUUGAGGUAGGAGCUUUGAGGUGGUGAAUAAGAGAGGGUAGUUUUUAAUCUGGAGAAUGUUUAAUAGAUAUUGAUAGGGAGGAAUUCUGCUAGGUGCAUAUUAAUAUAGAUAAAGAGGAGUUACGAUCGUUCUGGCAAUACGCUAUAGCUGCAUACAUAUCAGCUAGUUUUGUGGCUAUUUAUUUUAGUGUUAAUUUAGUGAACAGGAAACAGAUUUGACAUUUUUUAUUCUUUAAUGCAUUAAAUCCUGUUUGUCAGAAGAUUUUUUGUUUACUCUGAAGGGGAGGCAUAGACCUUAUUUGUCAUCUCUCAAGUGCAAUGAGAUGCAACUGCAAACGUCAUCUGAACUAAAGGUGGUAGCAGAGAGAGAGUAGGGCAAUAGUAUUAAAAGUAAGAUUAGUUUUUAACCUUUGUCCUGAAGCUGGAGAAUGGCUCGUUCUGGCUCUCCAAAAACAUCAGUUGUACUUUUUUUUUUUCCCUUUCUCCUUUCUCCCUCUCCCUAAGCCUUGUCUUUGCACAAAGACGUAAAGACUAGGGUAUAAAUGAGAUUACUUUGGAUUCAAGUAAUUUAUGCUGGUCUUAUUUGAUACAAGGAAGUACAGAGAGGGUCAGUAAUUGUGUCUUCUCCUUUGUUAUAGCUCAGAAAUAUAAGUGCACACACCUGUGAGGCCUGCUUGUAACUUUGAUUAAUGAAACGUGUCUUCGUGGCCUUUAGGUUUGGUUUACUAGGCAAACAUAAUAUUUAAAUGCGCAUUUUCCAUUGAGAAGGUUAAAUACAAAUUACUUCCAUUAAGCUAAGUAGCUUCUCCUCUUUAUAUAAAAGACUAAAGAUACAUUAACUCUUUGAAUAAUCAUUUGAUGUGUACAGAAAACAAGGUUUUUCAAGUAUAGAAGACUUGAAAAACAUUUUCUGGGUCAGGUCUGCUGGCACAUAGGAAGGCCAUUAAGGCGAAAUGAGGAAUAGGUCUACAUCACUCUGCUGGCUUCGCAGACCUCUGCUCAUAGGAUACAGUAUGGAGAGACAUAAAAUGCAAUUAUGCUAAACAAUGAAUUGAACAAAGGUAUUUGUAUAGGAAUCUUUCUCUAAGAAAUAGUAGUUGGCUGUGCUGCAGUUUCCAAGACAACAACCCCCUGAGAGUAUCUCCUGUUUUUUCUCUUCCGAGUUACUCUGUGGAUCUCCUAAGCUGAGUAAAUUAAGGGACAAAAGCUGGUACAGUUCCAUUACACACCUUUUUAAAAAUGAAACAAAAUUACUCCAGCAGACUAAGUCUAAAGUAAAACAUGUUUUGAUUCUGUAUCAACUAUGCAUUUUACGUUUCUUGCUAGGCAUCUUUAAAUAAACUAGUUAUUUUUAUUCAGUUGCCUACAAAGGUAUAUUACAUGAUGUAGUUUUUAUUUUUAGAAACAUACUUAUAUCUAAAAUAUGUUAACAAAAGAAAUGUCAGGCUUGGACAAUUUCUGAAAUGUUAUCUACAAAAAAAAACCCCCAAACUGAAAAGCACUCUUUAGAGUAGAACCAAGGAGAACAGAUUACAGUUCUACAUCAGCUGUGUGGGUGUUUUAUAACCCUUCUUUCAGCUUCACUUCAGAAACCCAAUUCCAUUUACACUCACAUGGAUGCAAAUGUAAAUUCAGCCACAUGUGAAAAUAGGGACUCACCUGUCUCGUAUGUUGUAGUAGUAUGACUUAAUAUGUUUGUGUUUGCUUAUGUUUAUCUAAAUGUUAUCGCUGUCACACAGAAUAGUAAUAUAGUGAAUAUGAAGAAUAUCGGUAAAACUGCAGUAGGUGCGAGAGCUUUCCAAAGUGUCAGAUUCCAUGUUGCACUGAACCUGUGUAACGUGAAUGUAAAAGUCAGCCUCUGCUGCUUGAUGUGAAAAGGUUUCACACUUCAAAAAAAAGCUGUAAAUGGCUGCUUAAAAUACUGGACAAUAUGAGCUUAAAACCACUCUGCUGAUCUAGCAGUACUGUCAUUCUUUACUAAAGAUUAGUGUUUAAACCACAAGAUUAUGGAAUUAUUUUAUUCUUACUUAAGUUUAUUAAUCUGAAAUACUUACUAUCGAUUGAUUCAUUUAAUACAGCUCUUUUGUUUUGUUUCAUCAUUAACUGAGAUGCUGGCACAGUUGUUCAGACUUUUAUUUCUCAGGUAAAGAACAUUACAGAUCUGUAGAGUGGAAGAUAUCCAGUGCAGAUGAAAAAUUUUUGAAAGAUUACAAUGAAGUUCAACACAGUGCAGUUCAGAACUGCUCUUUAAUCUGCUCUUGACAGUAUGUGUAAUUUUCACUUUCAAGACUCAAAAAAAGCAGUAAAAGGAUGUUGACUUCCAAACUGAUUCCCUCUGAUAGUUAUGAUAUAAAAGCAUAGGUGAACUACAGAAAGGCAAUUUAAAUGAAAAUUCAGAUGCUAGAGCACAGGAUGUAACGUGCAUUAGAGAGAGGGCCAGUGUAUGUAUUUUACUCCUCUGUUUUGUCCUCCUUUGAUCUUUUGGUGCAGAUAUAGUUUGAGGAUACACAAACUUCAUAACUGGGUGUCAGCAAUCAGAUGUUCUGCUGCAAUACUUACCAGAGAUUACUUAGUACCUUAUACUGCAUUUUACAAAUAAAGGUGCAUUUUAUUUUUCUUCUUUGCCUUGACACCAUUGUCAUUUAGGUAAAGAGCUGUCAGUGUACUAUUUACAAAUAUAUUGGUUGCAUAAUACAAUACCUAAGUAUGACUAUAUAACUGGCAAAAACUUCUGCUAGUCUGAAUGUAAAAGACCUACUACUAUAUGCUACUGUGACAGUAUGAAAGUAUAAUAAAGAUGAAAUUUAGCCAUAAUAAAAAUAAAUGUUACUGUCCAUAAGUCUGAAAGCACUGUAAUGAUUUUGAAACAAAGAACACUAAUGGUGAUGACUGUUUCACUCUUGGUAGGAAAUCCAGGAUUUCUAACUUAUUUUGGGGCAUUUUCCAUGCUGGAUCUUUUAAACUUUUGAUGGAAGAUAGGCAUGCAUCUAAAACUCCUGACAAAUAGUUAGUUAUACCUUAGGAUU